GAUGAACGCUGGCGGCGUGCCUAAUACAUGCAAGUCGAGCGGAGCGGCGGACGGGGGAGUAAUGCCUAGGAAUCUGCCUGGUAGUGGGGGAUAACGUCCGGAAACGGGCGCUAAUACCGAAUACUAUCAGAUGAGCCUAGGUCGGAUUAGCUAGUUGGUGGGGUAAAGGCCUCCCAAGGCGACGAUCCGUAACUGGUCUGAGAGGAUGAUCAGUCACACUGGAACGGGGACACGGUCCAGGCUCCUGCGGUAGGCAGCAGUGGGGAAUAUUGGACAAUGGGCUAGGUCCUGAUCCAGCCAUGCCGCGUGUGUGGAGAAGGUCUUCGGGUUGUAAAGCACUUUAAGUUGAGAGUCGUUACCAACAGACUAGGCACCGGCUAACUUCGUGCCAGCAGCCGCGGUAAUAC
rnacentral:rRNA from 1 species